CCUGCGGGUUGUAAAGCACUUUAGUUGGGGAAGAAAGUGUACUUUUCGAAUAGGAGAGUAUUUUGACGUUACCCAAAGAAUAAGCACCGGCUAACUCUGUGC
rnacentral:rRNA from 1 species